rnacentral:rRNA from 1 species
GAUGAACGCUAGCGGCAGGCCUAAUACAUGCAAGUCGAGGGGCAGCAUAGUAGCAAUACUGAUGGCGACCGGCGCACGGGUGCGUAACGCGUAUGCAACCUACCCAUUACUGAGGGAUAGCCCGGAGAAAUUCGGAUUAAUACCUCAUGGUAUCAAGGACAGGCAUUUGUUUUUGAUUAAAGAUUUAUCGGUAAUGGAUGGGCAUGCGUCAGAUUAGCUAGUUGGCGGGGUAACGGCCCACCAAGGCGAUGAUCUGUAGGGGGUCUGAGAGGAUGAUCCCCCACACUGGUACUGAGAUACGGACCAGACUCCUACGGGAGGCAGCAGUAGGGAAUAUUGGUCAAUGGGCGAGAGCCUGAACCAGCCAUGCCGCGUGCAGGAAGAAGGCCCUCUGGGUUGUAAACUGCUUUUGACCAGGGCCAAAAUACUCAUGCGUGAGGAAUUGAGAGUACUGGUAGAAUAAGCACCGGCUAACUCCGUGCCAGCAGCCG